CUGAGGAAUGUACUUUGUUAAAUCUGUGCCAUUACGGCAGCUUUGUGUCAUGGUCUAUGUGUGAUCGUGUGAUUUUUUUGUGUGAGGACCCAAACGCAGAAAGAGGAAGCUGGACUAAGACUUAACCAAAAGUGAGCCGUUUAUUAUGGCUGGUAGCAAACAUGGACAAAAACAGAAAAACCAAAAUGAAUAAAAACGGAAAUAACACCUAACACCUGAAAUCUGAAACACUUGGAAAUAACAAGGGAACAUGGAGACACGAGGGAGGAUUAACGGGCGAUUUGCAAAUGCACCGACAAAGGACAAGAGGAAGACCGAGACAAUAAAUACACUAAAGGAUGACGAGGGAAGUGGAAACUCAUGGGAACACAGCUGGAGGAAAUUGGAUGUGAUGACACAGGGGGAAGGAAAACUUAACACAGCGAACACAGUACGAGAGACUGUCACUGACUUAAGACACACAGCUUGACACAGCAAUGGGGAUAAACAAGCAGGGAGGCAGAUGAGACACAAGAAGAGGAAAGGGGAAACAGCUGAUGGGGAGUCCCAGGUGUUCUACCUCUACUGGGUUUGUCAUCUCUGACAUCACCAUGAGUCAUAGACCCACUGUAUCAUCAGGCCUUUCAGUUUGUGGCACCAAGGCUUUGGAAUGGUCUCCAACAUCAUUUAGCUGGAUCUGUUGACUCCUAUAAACAGCUAUUAAAAACUCGUUUAAUGUGGCUUCCUAUUGAUAGUAACUUUUUUUUUUAAAAUUUGUGUUUUCUUUUAUU